UACGGAGGGUGCAAGCGUUAUCCGGAUUUACUGGGUUUAAAGGGUGCGUAGGUGGGUUGGGUAGUCAGUGGUGAAAUACUUUCGCUUAACGAAGGAACUGCCAUUGAUACUCCCAAUCUUGAAUACAGUGGAGGUGGGCGGAAUGCGUCAUGUAGUGGUGAAAUACUUAGAUAUGACGCAGAACACCUAUUGCGAAGGCAGCUCGCUACACUGUCAUUGACACUGAGGCACGAAAGCGUGGGGAUCAAACAGGAUUAGAUACCCUGGUAGUCCACGCCCUAAACGAUGAUUACUCGAUCUCAGCGAUACACUGUUGGGGUCUAUGUGAAAACAUUAAGUAAUCCACCUGGGGAGUACGAUCGCAAGAUUGAA
rnacentral:rRNA from 1 species